CCUUCGGGGUACACGAGCGGCGAACGGGUGAGUAACACGUGGGUGAUCUGCCCUGCACUUCGGGAUAAGCCUGGGAAACUGGGUCUAAUACCGGAUAUGACCUUCGGCUGCAUGGCUGAGGGUGGAAAGGUUUACUGGUGCAGGAUGAGCCCGCGGCCUAUCAGCUUGUUGGUGGGGUAAUGGCCUACCAAGGCGACGACGGGUAGCCGACCUGAGAGGGUGACCGGCCACACUGGGACUGAGACACGGCCCAGACUCCUACGGGAGGCAGCAGUGGGGAAUAUUGCACAAUGGGCGAAAGCCUGAUGCAGCGACGCCGCGUGAGGGAUGACGGCCUUCGGGUUGUAAACCUCUUUCAGCAGGGACGAAGCGAAAGUGACGGUACCUGCAGAAGAAGCACCGGCCAACUACGUGCCAGCAGCCGCGGUAAUACGUAGGGUGCAAGCGUUGUCCGGAAUUACUGGGCGUAAAGAGCUCGUAGGCGGUUUGUCGCGUCGUCUGUGAAAACUCNAGGCUCAACCUCGAGCUUGCAGGCGAUACGGGCAGACUUGAGUACUGCAGGGGAGACUGGAAUUCCUGGUGUAGCGGUGAAAUGCGCAGAUAUCAGGAGGAACACCGGUGGCGAAGGCGGGUCUCUGGGCAGUAACUGACGCUGAGGAGCGAAAGCGUGGGUAGCNAACAGGAUUAGAUACCCUGGUAGUCCACGCCGUAAACGGUGGGCGCUAGGUGUGGGUUCCUUCC
rnacentral:rRNA from 1 species